rnacentral:rRNA from 1 species
AUUGAACGCUGGCGGCAGGCUUAACACAUGCAAGUCGAGCGGGGGAAGGUAGCUUGCUACCGGACCUAGCGGCGGACGGGUGAGUAAUGCUUAGGAAUCUGCCUAUUAGUGGGGGACAACAUCUCGAAAGGGAUGCUAAUACCGCAUACGUCCUACGAGAGAAAGCAGGGGAUCUUCGGACCUUGCGCUAAUAGAUGAGCCUAAGUCGGAUUAGCUAGUUGGUGGGGUAAAGGCCUACCAAGGCGACGAUCUGUAGCGGGUCUGAGAGGAUGAUCCGGCACACUGGGACUGAGACACGGCCCAGACUUCUACGGGAGGCAGCAGUGGGGAAUAUUGGACAAUGGGGGGAACCCUGAUCCAGCCAUGCCGCGUGUGUGAAGAAGGCCUUAUGGUUGUAAAGCACUUUAGGCGAGGAGGAGGCUACUUUAGUUAAUACCUAGAGAUAGUGGACGUUACUCGCAGAAUAAGCACCGGCUAACUCUGUGCCAGCCGCCGCCGUAA